GACUCUCGGCAACGGAUAUCUCGGCUCUUGCAUCGAUGAAGAACGUAGCGAAAUGCGAUACUUGGUGUGAAUUGCAGAAUCCCGUGAACCAUCGAGUCUUUGAACGCAAGUUGCGCCCGAAGUCUUUUAGACCGAGGGCACGCCUGCCUGGGCGUCACACACAG
rnacentral:rRNA from 1 species